GUAGGAUAAGAUUAUGAAUCACCCAUAGUCGCUUUGCCCUGUUGCUUCUUCUGAAUUAUCCAUCUCCAAUCAAAACAACUUCUUACAUUGAUGCAUGGAGAAAUACGGUUCAUCACAAUUAUGGCACAACCCCUUUUGCUCUUCGCUCAGCCAUCUUUGGAUGACUCAAUCUUUUAAUAAAGGGAGACAAGAUAAUUUCUAAACUGGAAUUCUAUAAUAUGCUAGUAGCCUUGGUUACAGGCAGAAU
rnacentral:misc_RNA from 1 species